UACGUAGGUCCCGAGCGUUGUCCGGAUUUAUGGGGCGUAAAGCGAGCGCAGGUGGUUUAAUAAGUCUGAUGUAAAAGGCAGUGGCUCAACCAUUGUGUGCAUUGGAAACUGUUAGACUUGAGUGCAGUAGAGGAGAGUGGAAUUCCAUGUGUAGCGGUGAAAUGCGUAGAUAUAUGGAGGAACACCGGUGGCGAAAGCGGCUCUCUGGACUGUAACUGACACUGAGGCUCGAAAGCGUGGGUAGCAAACAGG
rnacentral:rRNA from 1 species